UGCCACUGGUCCUUUCUCAUGCACACAGCUAAAAAGCAGCCACAAAGCAGGCCGAGCUGUGAUUCCCACCAGACCUGGGAAGGGACCUCCGUGCACCCUCCGCCCCCACCAGAGCACUGGAGCGUGAGGCCUCUAGAAUUUCUGCAGUCCGAAGGGGACUGGAAGACUCCGGCCAGAGCGGGAGAUUGUCAGGCCUGGCUGCUCACUGACUUCUCGAAUCUCUGGGAGGUUUGACAGGAAAUUAAGCCAUUGCGAUGAAGGUGCUCUGGUCACAGAGAAGAGAAAAGGGACUAACACAGAAAGGUCCAAACCCGGGCAGUCCUGGCCGAGAACCCAACCUGCUGGUUUAAUGACCACCACACCUCUGACACUAACUGCCUCUAUACUGUUGUGUUGGAAAGAGGGAACGGAUGACAGGAGAAGAAGAAGCUUUCCCACAGUGCUCACCUCUGGCAGCCUCUCUGAUGAUGUCACACUGCCAACGGACCAGAACCUGGGAAUGGUCCGACCGUCACGGUCUGUGCCAUUUGAGGACGGUUUCUUCUGAAGGGCCAACAUGAGGACGGUGUGAAGGUCUGAACGGAGGAGCAUGGAGGUCAUCCUUCUUCCUCUGGAGAAUGAGACAACCAGAAAUUAAAAUCCCAUCAUUUUGUUGAUCGAUUGAGAGGGUCCUGUGACUAGAGACAGAGCCUUAGACCUCCAUUUCCUUCGCUGCGGAAGGGAACCGCAGGCCCCAUCUGACAGGAUGAAGUAAGCGUGACCUGGGGCUCUACAGCAGGCAGGAAGGCUGGCCCCGCAUCCCUCUA